rnacentral:lncRNA from 1 species
GACCAAGGAAGAUCCUGCUGACUCUGAUAAAACUCCAAUAAAUCUGGAUCCAAUUGCUGUAGUGUCUCCCUGGAGAUCCAUGCACAGUCAUAAUCUGGUUGACCAACCCAACGAACAAGGAAACGCUGAACCUCUCCAUCAUUAGUGAACACAGUUUCUUCAUCUAAAAUAGCAUCAAUUUUUUCUUUGUGUGCUGUGA